UUUUGGGAGGCUUUUUCCCCAGAGAAACUGGGGGACAGCACCUCCCGCCCCAGACACGUGGCCACCAGCACCUUCCCUGCUUUAAAAUCACCAAGAAUUUCCCUGCCCCUUCGCCCACCCUUUUUGCUCUGGUUUGCCCAAAGGUGUUCACAGAGACGUUUUGCGGUGGGGAAGGCACACGCCAGCGCUGGUUUGGACUGGGAUGCAGCUGGAGAGCAGACGUUGUGAGGCACCAGGCCCCACCAUCCCGCAGGCCCGUGGUGCCAACAGGAUGCCGGCCUUGGGGCUCCUUCCUCCAGUGCCUGCCCGUCCUUGUGCCAGGGGUGGGACCCGGCCCUGCUCGGGGCCCCGCUGCCCGCCCCGUCCCGUGGGACCCCCUGGGCACACAGUCGAGUCUUCCAGCUGUGCCUGCCCCCGCAGGGCAGCGCCUUGUUGCUUCUGGGAUCGGCAUCGAGGGGGGGACCCCACGGAGCCCUCGCCUGGCCCUUUGCAGCCCCCCCCGGGGCUUCUCCACCCAACGCUGCGCCUCUCCCGGCCGCCAACCCCAAAUGGAGACCACGGGGCUGGGACAUGCAACAGAGGCGGCCACUCGGGCUAUGGGAGCAUUUGGGGGGAAAUACUCGUUUUUUGCAACGCGGUUGUCCACUGGUAUGUUUCUGGCUGCCUUCCCCACUCCUGCUGCCACCACCCCCUGGGCUGCUGGGGAGCGCUGUGCCACGCAGAUGGCUGCAGGCUCACUGGCUCGCUCCCCACACCCUUGGCUGUGUUUCGGAGGUCACUGCUUAGCCGUGUCCAGCUUUGUCCCCCUGUUGUCCCCACCAGGCUGAACCCCUGGGGCCGCGCACAGCCCCGGCACCCGCCCUGUACAUAGUCCCCGCGCGGCCGCGCACCCCCCGCCAGCCGGGCAGGUUGCAUGUGGUUUUGUUUUCCUCCUGCCGUCACGCCGACGUCUCUGUCUGCAUUUGUCCCUAAGCAGAACCCCUCACUGUCCUGGCUGGCCCAGCACCCAUGGAAAACCAGGCAAGUAAGGUGCUGGGGCCGCACACUGCCCCGGGGGGAGAUGCUCCUGCCCCUUGCCCCAGCAGGAGCAGGGCAGAGCCACUGCUGCCCCCCACUCGCUCCUGCAGCUCCCUGGUGUCUUAUUUAUUGAACGAGUUUUGGGUUGGUGGCUCCUUUUUAAUAGUAAAGCUGUCAAACGCCCCACAAAUGGAGAGAUCCUGCCUUUGGCUUGGAGAACAGUGACUGUUUUAAUGGAUUUUUUUUAAACCACCUUGGGACUCGGAGCCUCUCCUUCCCCCAGCACCUUUGCUGUCUGCGUUCGUGCAGGGUCCGUCAUGCCCUGAGGUCUUUCAGUUCCUGGUCUCCUGGCCGAUGGGUCCCGGAGAAGCCCCUUAGUGCUACGAGGGGCAGGCUGUGCCAUAACCAGGACACAAAAUCCCCAUCCCCGGGAGAAGGCUCCUCAAUCUCUAAAUCAAUGUGCAGAAGACGGAUUGGACCCACGAGCUGGGGAGAGAGAAGGCGAAUGCAUGUGUUAAGGCGUGACCUUUUGUUUUCUGUAGCACAGACAGGUUCUCGUGAGGGAACAGCAGGGCCGGGGUGCUCCCAACCCAGCUGUUUCAUUCCCUGGCACGGCGGAGCAGUAACGCCCCGGCAGCGGCAGCACCACCCUGGGCUUUCUUCCCUGCACCGGGGGUUUGACGACGGGGAGAGGCUGGGGACUUCUCAUGGCAGAAGGCAGGGAAACAACCCAGGAGGAGUACGGUGCAGGGCUGGGGACGUGUGUCUGUGUGUCCGUCUACGUGUCUGUCCAUCUGACCGUGUGUGCAGGGCGUUGGGUGGAACCUGGGGCCCCUGCAGUCCCUGCUGCAGCUGGCCUCCAGGCCACGCAGGCUCCGAACCGCCCCUCCGUUACCAUCCUGGUCUGCCAGUUUGUUUUCAAAGCCGGUAGUUGAGAGGGGAACCCCCCACCCCACGAUGCUCCUUGACACGGAUGCGAUGGGCCGAUAACCCUGUACAAGGUGUUUUCUGCUGGUAUACAUUUUUUUAUUUAAUAGCAUUUUUGUAAGAUCUCCAGACGACUAUGCAGCGAUCAUGUGGAUCUGGUUCUCUCUCCCCAGCUCCCCCUCCUCCCCACCUGCCUUUUUCAGUGUCGAAGUAAAAUAUUUAGCUUUUUUUUUUUUUUUUUUUUUUUUUUUUUUUGAUAAUAAUAAAACUUUGGAAAAACCUGAAAAUGUCCAGCUUAGUGGGUGGUGGGGGGCGGAGAUGCUUUGAAACUCUGAUGUUGUUGUAAAUACUUUGCAAUUUGAUAAUUAAAUACAGACAGACCUCACACAAAAAAA